AGCGAACGCUGGCGGCAGGCCUAACACAUGCAAGUCGAACGAACUCUUCGGAGUUAGUGGCGGACGGGUGAGUAACACGUGGGAACGUGCCCUUAGGUUCGGAAUAACUCAGGGAAACUUGUGCUAAUACCGCAUGUGCCCUUCGGGGGUAAGAUUUAUCGCCGUUAGAGCGGCCCGGGUCAGAUUCGCUAGUUGGUGAGGUAAAGGCACACCAAGGCGACGAUCAGUAGCUGGUCUGAGAGGAUGAUCAGCCACAUUGGGACUGAGACACGGCCCAAACUCCUACGGGAGGCAGCAGUGGGGAAUCUUGCGCAAUGGGCGAAAGCCUGACGCAGCCAUGCCGCGUGAAUGAUGAAGGUCUUAGGAUUGUAAAAUUCUUUCACCGGGGACGAUAAUGACGGUACCCGGAGAAGAAGCCCCGGCUAACUUCGUG
rnacentral:rRNA from 1 species